rnacentral:misc_RNA from 1 species
GAUGAAGAACGUAGCGAAAUGCGAUAAGUAAUGUGAAUUGCAGAAUUCAGUGAAUCAUCGAAUCUUUGAACGCACAUUGCGCCCGCCAGUAUUCUGGCGGGCAUGCCUGUUCGAGCGUCAUUUCAACCCUCAAGCCCUGCUUGGUGUUGGGGAUCGGCGUUGCCUCCUCCGUCGUUCGCGGCGGGGUGAGGUCGCCGCCCCCGAAAUGAAUUGGCGGUCUUGUCGCAGCUUUCCUUUGCGUAGUAACAUACCACCUCGCAACCAGGAGCGCGGCGCGGCCACUGCCGUAAAACGCCCAACUUUUUCAAGAGUUGACCUCGAAUCAGGUAGGAAUACCCGCUGAACUUAAGCAUAUCAAUAAGCGGAGGA